GGGGGUGAUUGGUUUCGACUGGGGUGGUAGUCCCAGGAGAAGCGGGCCGAGAAUCCAGAGUCAACUCGUGAUGUCCUCUGGGAACCAAUAAGUGCCAAUUCACAGCGCACUGACUUCGCUCUCGCUGCCUGAGCAGUGAUCGAAGGGUCAGCCUGGAUGUGCCUUCCGUCCAGAUCCUGGCCUCGUUCAGAAGGCUUACUCGAUGGUCCUCGUCCGAGGGAUCACCGGGGAAAUUCAUCGGACUGGGCUUGGCUGCAACUUGCUGACGUGAGUGCAGGAGCCGAGUAGACCGACUAGCCAGCUGCGCCCGGAGAAAACCUGGUUCGCCAGUUCAGGACGCGGGUUCAAUUCCCGCCACCUCCACCA
rnacentral:tmRNA from 1 species